CGGUCGGUCCAGCGGCUCCACACGCGCCUACCGACACACAAGAAACUCUUGCCAUUAUGUUUGCUUCUGACGCAAUCAUGACAGAAUUACGCUCUAUUGAUAUGCAUGCUGCCAUUGCUUUGGAGUCGGUCUUUUGAAUUUCUGCGUUUUUUUUUCGGAUCGGCUCCACUCUCCAGACAGCUGGCUCAGCCUGAUCGACCAGAGCGAUGCGACACCUAUACCAACUUGAUACCAACCUACUUGGCGGGGUGGUGAAUUCAUGAAAUGCGAAUGCGAAACAUGGCAAUAGAUGGCGGAACGAACAGCAUGGGGAAGGCUGGAGUGGGACACGCAUUGAGAAAUGAAAUCCGUCACUUCCCAGAUUUCGAACGCAUCCUUAGAGUGCAUUACUUUUAUGUGCUUGCGUUCGGUCUUGGGAUUUCUCAGCAGAUGUCGCCAACAGCAGAGAGAUUGAUCUAGAAUGUCUCGUUAUCGGAAAAGUAUGGUAGCUAUACGCCAAAUGGUUUUUGCGUAUAGUUACCAUAUUACUUCCGAUAUGACUGUUGACAUUACUGCGGAUAUGACCGAGCAGUGCAUUGGCAAUAUGCCAAGGGCAGUAACAUGCCGUCAGUCACGUCAGUCAUCGGCCUUGGCUAUCUGUAAGAAUCUUGGCAGGAAUCUUGGCCUUUUCUUGGACCCAUAGCGUCGGCCUUCGACCAAUCAUAUCGCCGAAUUCCCAGGCAGUGAGAGACAAAUACGGCGUGCCGAAGACAUAUUGGGUGUCUCAAAAUCACUAAGAACUCUAUAGCUCAAAAUUUAAGCCCUGCACUUUUUUAGAUCUACCCCGUUGAGUGGCAUUUUUGUGAAAAUUAUGUAAAUAUAUUAAUCAGAAUAAGGGAGAAGUGUAGGGGGCGGCGGGUGAGGUGCAGAAGAAGAAUAAGAAGUUGUACCUAUCCAGUAAUUUUAUCUUGAUUUGUGGAUUAGAGGAAGACUAGAUUUUGAUAAAGAAAUCGGCAAACUUGAACUGCAGGUAAGGUGUUGGUUUGUCAUGCCGAUUGUCUUGAAACCUGUUCCUUUUAAACCUGGGCUUCACCAUUUACGCUCCAUAUGUGAAUUAGCCUUGAGGCAAAAUAAUCCGGCAGGUGGCUAUUUUCUGUUUGUAAAACUGGCCUCAGAUGGAGUGCUAUCAUUUGAUUAACCAUCACAUGAUCAGGCAGCAACAAUGUUUGUGGUUUUAGAAUCUUGAAAAUUUUUCUUGGGAGUGGCACUUGGUAGACAUCUGUUUGUGAUUCUGCUAGAGCAAUAGCGUCGUGCUCAAGCCAGCCAAAUUUUAGACUGCCAAUUCACAAGAAAAAAUGCUUGGUUAAUCAGAUUUCAGGUAUCAAAAUAUUAGGUAAGGCAUCAAUAGGCAUUUAAUUCAAUUCUGGUGGUAAAAAUCAUGACCAUAUAUUGGCAUAUCAUCAAUUUUUAAUUUGUUGUGGCACACCUUGUUGUAUAUUGAGGCUUGAAGAUGCUCAAGUAAAUAUUUUUGAUGCGUGUGUUGAUGAAGGCUAAAGUCCAAUGAAAAUAAAAAGCAGAAAUUAUCCUGACCUUCCCUUCCCUACUAACCUCCAACCUCCAACCCAUCAGCCUACAAACCACCGUUCAGACUUCAUCUACACGCAGGUUUAACAUUUUAUGAUAAAGUAAAAAAUGCUCAGCUUGUAAUCCAAUGCCUUUCAAAACCAAUAGGCCUUUUUGGCCUUGCGAAUGGUUAACGGAGAGAGAGAGUUACCUAACUCUAUCAUGUAAAAGCUGCUUUGAGAAAAUAGCACUGUGUUUUAUCCUGGCUUCAUGACUCUCUAACGCUCUUUCAAACACAUGGUUGUUUUCUGACAAUUGGUGAUACAGAGAGGGUCUGCAUUAAUGUCCAAGUAUGGUCAUUUAGGAUCAAUUUUUGGUGCCCUCGUUUUAUAUUAUUCCAGCACUCCAGCAGCCUUACCCCGCGUUCGAUGUCUCUCGGAUGACGAAGAUUCUACGUCGUCCAGCCAAUCCCGUCCAAGGACUCGUGGCGCUGCUCGCCUCCUCGCCAAUGCGAACGCGUUCUCUGAGGACAACCCGCCCAAGGCUAGUAUGGCGAAGCCACGCCACCGCGCCGGCUAUAGACUCACGGCCUGAAGCGAGUUUGGGCGCGACGGCUGGCGAGCCAAGGCGGCGGAAAGUCGUCUGGCGGAGCUCCCGUCUGAGGCGAGCUUGAUCUGGUCAGACAUCUCCGCCACCGAUGGUGUGCUAGAUGGAGGAGGAGGGGCCACCCCCCCCCCCCCUGAACCGCGACAUCCGGGAGGUGCGUGUCGCGGCAGGCGCCCUCUGCUCUAGCACGCGCGGUGAGCUAUUCGCCCUAAGAGCGGUGUUGGAGGAGCUGUUGACCAAGACUGGUCGCGACACCUCUCUUCCGAUAAUUAUCGUCUGUACCGACUCGAUGGCGGCGCUGGCCCUCCUGCGGAGCGGCGCGGCGGCCCAGAGAGCCCCUCUGGCCGCAGACAUAUGGGGGCUGCUGGCAGCGCUCACCGAGGGGGCCAGCCAGUGAUAAUGCAGUGGGUUCCUGCACACUGCGGGCUUCCGGGCAACGAGCGGAUGGACGCCCUCGCGCGCGAGGCUGGCGCCCUAUCCCAACGGUAGCGCCGUCCGCCGAUCGACUUGGGCAGCACUAUCUGCAAGGCAGGCGCGCGCGACGCUGCGCGCGCCUGGCGGCGGAGCUGGCAGGACGGAUGACCCUGGCUGCCGCCGUGAGAACCAUCCAGAACCGUACGGCUAUGCUGCGGCAGCGGCUGAAAGGAACGCAACAACAAUAACUACAACAGCAGCUGCUAAUGAAAGGGGAAAUCAUGGAGCCGGAUGACUCGGCACAUGGCGCUCAGCCAGCUGAGAAUGAGAGCAGCUAUCAAAUCGCCAGCAGGGUGCUGCGGCUGGUAACUGACGACCUUGGUAGAGAGAGCGCCUCCGCUGAUGCGGAUGAAACUACCCCCUCUCGGGUUUGUUUGACGCCGUCUCCGUCGACUCUUUCGCCUGGGCCGGCUGGCGACCGCGCUACAUUUCUUGUGCAGUGACUCGUAACUGUGUUCACCAAACUUUCAAAACUCCCCUCGUUAGCAUCUUUAAAGAAUGUUUUCCUUGUACACUGCUGCAAUGUCUUAUGUAGGCAUGUUGUACAGUCUAAACGAGUGUGGAAUGCUUUGUUGUGCUUGUUCUGUAUUUCGUUUGCUAUUUAUCACGGUGACUAUAAUUUAUUUUGACCAACUCUUGCCUUGUUACAAUUUUAGUGGAUGGUUUCUGAACUGCUGUUUGCAUUAUAGAUUUUGCUAGUGCGUAGACGCCAAAGAUUACUUUAUACCUAUUGACGCGCCAGAUAAAGGAGGUGAAGUAUUCCUCUGAUCUAUACCUACGGAAUUCCUUUAUGUGUGUUUUGUAAUCGAUAUUGGCGGUUUUCUUAUGUGAUGCGGUGUAGAGCGUGGCUGAGGAAGGCGAUGUUUAAAGUUGCUAGUUAUUUUUCAAUACAUCUUUGAUCGG